rnacentral:lncRNA from 1 species
AUUGAAGAAUCAUAAGGAGUUUUUCUGUUUGUUUUUCUAUUUCAUGUCUAAAUUUUUUAAACUUUUCAAAAAAUUCAAAUUUAUAUUUCAUGAGAAAUAUAUAUCCAUACUAUAAAUAAUCAUCGAUAAAAAUGAUGAAGUACCGAUAACCAUCUCUGACCUACACAUCGAAUGGCCCAUACACAUCAGUAUGUACCAAGGCAAAUAAUUCAGUGGCCCUUUGUUUAUGUCCUAAAAGGGUAACUUAAUUUUUUUUCUUGAAGACAGGAUUCACAAACUGGACAUGACUCAGA